CCUACGGGGGCUGCAGUGGGGAAUAUUGGACAAUGGGGGCAACCCUGAUCCAGCCAUGCCGCGUGUGUGAAGAAGGCCCUCGGGUUGUAAAGCACUUUCAGUGAGGAAGAACGCCUGGUGGUUAAUACCCAUCAGGAAAGACAUCACUCACAGAAGAAGCACCGGCUAACUCCGUGCCAGCAGCCGCGGUAAUACGGAGGGUGCGAGCGGUAAUCGGAAUUACUGGGCGUAAAGCGCGCGUAGGUGGCUUGAUAAGCCGGUUGUGAAAGCCCCGGGCUCAACCUGGGAACGGCAUCCGGAACUGUCAAGCUAGAGUGCAGGAGAGGAAGGUAGAAUUCCCGGUGUAGCGGUGAAAUGCGUAGAGACCGGGAGGACUACCAGUGGCGAAGGCGGCCUUCUGGACUGACACUGACACUGAGGUGCGAAAGCGUGGGUAGCAAACAGGAUUAGAUACCCGAGUAGUC
rnacentral:rRNA from 1 species